rnacentral:lncRNA from 1 species
GGGCCGCGCCGUGGGGCCCCGGCAGCCCGCCUCGCGGCCGCGAAGGACACCGGUCCCCUCACCUGAGACGCUAGGCCGCACGCCGCCGCACGCUGUCCGGGACGCCAAGCCGGGGCCCGUCCGCCGCGCCCGCCGCGCCGCUGCGCUCACAGGCCCCGCUCGCCCGCGGGCACUGCUGGCAGCCUCCGCCGCAGCCGCCGCCACUGCUUCGGUUCCUCGGCUGCGGGAGAGCAGAACAAACAGCCCUGCCGCCGCCGCCAGCGCACUGAUGUCACCACGCACGCUGCGCGCGCGGCCCCGUGUCAUCGCCGCCGCCCGGCGUGCGCGUCCCGCUGGUCCUCCCAGGUCCGGAGAGCUUCGUUAGUGCCGGCGGCGGUUGUAGAGGUGAGGACAGGAGACUGGCUCCCCCGACUGGGGGGAGGAGGGCGGGAGUCCUUGGAACACGAUCGAGGGUCUCUGAGGACUGUGUACCCCAGAGGGAUACACAGAAGAGGGAAGAUCAAGAGAAGACAAGAAGAGUCUUCAGGGCCAUCCAUAAGGAAACAGCUUUUCGGAGGAAGCCGACACGCAGACUCAGGGAAGGAACCUUGCAGAUGAGUGGGGAUCUUCACAUGCAAGAACGACAAGAAAAGAUUUUUUUUUUUCCCCCAGAGCUGAGGACCGAACCCAGGGCCUUGCGCUUGCUAGGCAAGCGCUCUACCACUGAGCUAAAUCUCCAACCCCAAGAAAAGAUUUUUAAUCCAAAAAUUUAAAUAAUCCGAUGACAGACUCAAAAGAGCAGAUGGUGAAGAGAGCCCUCAGACAGGUGAUAGAGGAACAUUAAGGCCAGAGGACUAUGGCUAGUUGUGUGUCAGUGGGAACUGACAAUUGCUGAAAAUACAGACACGUUUCACUAUAUUCACUACACUCAAUUUAUGGAAUCAACUUAAGGAAAAUAUUUCAUGUAUCAUGAAAUAAGAGAAUGAGCCAGCGGGGAUUUUUUUUUUCAGAGCAGGAUCUUAAGAAUUCUUACCCUUCUUGUCUCAGCCUUCCAAGUAAUGAGAUUACAUGUGUUCACCACCACACCCAGGUCUUCUUGGCUGGCCUCUGUAGAGGAGCUGAAGAUUGAUCAGUACGGAUCUCUAAGCCUAGAACAUUCUCUUUCUUGUCCUCCAGAUUAACUUUAAUUCUUGAAGACGUAAGUCAGCUCCCAGCAUACUCUGAACUAGGUAUGUGACCAUUUGAGGGGUUGCAAAACAUCCCAGCCUGGAAUACAGAAGAUCUUUGAGAUUUUUUAAGACAGCAUUUCUCUGUAUGGCCCUGACUGUCCUAAAACUUAAACUAGAAUAGCCUUGAACACAGAAAUCUGUCUUUCUCUGCCUCUUAAGUACUGGGAUAAAAGGUAUGUACUACCACCCCC